AUUGAACGCUGGCGGCAGGCCUAACACAUGCAAGUCGAGCGGAGCGGCGGACGGGUGAGUAAUGCCUAGGAAGCUGCCUGGUAGUGGGGGAUAACGUUCGGAAACGGGCGCUACUACCGCAUAAUAUCCAACAAGCCUAGGGCGGAUUAGCUAGUUGGGGGGGUAAAGGCCUUCCAAGGCGAUGAUCCGUAACGGGUCUGAGAGGAUGAGCAGUCACACUGGAACUGAGACACGGUCCAGACUCCUGCGGGAGGCAGCAGUGGGGAAUCUUGGACAAUGGGGGAAAGCCUGAUACAGCCAUGCCGCGUGUGUUAAGAAGGUCUUCGGAGUGUAAAGCACUUUAAGUUGGGAGGCGUUACCAACAGAAUAAGCACCGGCUAACUUCGUGCCAGCAGCCGCGGUAAUAC
rnacentral:rRNA from 1 species